rnacentral:lncRNA from 1 species
CAAUAUAUAUAUAUAUGUUUUGUCAAAAUCAAUUGUUGAUUCUAUUUAAGUUUGAAGAUCAAGGUGAAGUGUAACUUAUGUUCGGAAUAGAAAUUUCCUUAAACUGUUAUUUAUAAAUUGAUGUAAAGGAGUGUACAAAAUCAUUUGUUUAUUCACACGUAUUAGCACGUCUCAACUUGACAAUUGCGCGUGAUUCAAACGAAGAAAGAGACAAAAUUCCAAGAUUUUUACAGAUGUGGCGCAAUAUGUUUGGAGAUAUUUGUGAAUGAAUUCAAUUUGAAGCUGGAUCAUCCCGAGGUUGUCUGGGUCUGCCAAUGCUUCUGCCCCUGUGUGCCCGAGCUUAUCAAGAAAGGGGGAUCUUAUUAUAAAUAAUUGAAUUUCAUUAAAUGUAGCUUUCAAAUUAUAAUAAAAAUUAUGCGUCUA